rnacentral:lncRNA from 1 species
CUGGGCACUGGGAUGUGAUGGUGAACAGCCGCAGGCAAAGCCACCUGUGGCCCUUAUGGAAUCUGGGGAUGGAUACUUCGGUUCCCGCCUGUAUGUGCAUAUUUGCUUUUUAUCCAGGAAGUGCAGUCUACCGUCAUUUCCAUAUCUUCUAUUGGUCACUGGAGUGCAGCAGAAAGAUCCGUGUUGAAAAAAGGGAAUGAAUCAGUUCAACAACACAUCAGAGAUGAAACAUCUGGUCACCAGCAUGCAUGGAUUAAAAGGUAAAUUUGGCCAGGCACGGUGGCUCACGCCUGUAAUCCCAGCACUUUGGGAGACUGAGGUGGGACGAUCACUUGAUCCGAGGAGUUUGAGACCAGACUGCAUACCAUAGCAAGACCCUCUCUCUACAAAAACAAUAAAAAUAAAAAUUACCCAGGCACGGUGGCACAUGUCUGUGGUCCCCAGCUACUCAGGAGGCUGAGGUGGGAAGAUCCCUGGAGCCUGGGAGGCGGAGGUUGCAGGGAGCCAAGAUCAGCCACUUCGCUCCAGCCUGGGCGGUAGAGGAGAUCCUGUCUCAAAAAAUAAAAUAAAAUAAAUAAUUUCCUCCGUAUCCUCAGAAACAAUUCAAAGCCAUGUGUAAACCCAAAACUGAGUUCAUCACUUCUAAGAUCAGAAGAAUUUGUGUUUGUUUAUGAUGAACUCACACACCAUAAUCUUCCAAAAUCAUUGAAUUCCAGGUGCGACUAAAGCAAAGUUUCAGAUUGCAAGUUGACACUGUUACCUGAAAGCUGCACACACCUGCUGAGUCACUUUUUAAACAAGCAUGAAAACAACAAUUUCUCUUGUUCCCAGUACAGCUUUGAGCCACAAAAAUUAAUUACAUCACCUAGGAAAUUAGCCCUGCGUUUUGCAUCCAGAGGUCAAUGUUCAGACUGAGAAAUGGUUUAGUGCUUCCAAACACAGGGCUCAGCACAUAAAUAUUUAUCAUGCAGAGGACAGGAACUCAUUGUACACGGCUUGUUUACCUUAUCAGGCAGUUACCUGGGGCAAAGAGUCCACUGUCUGCUUCCUGUCCUAAUUUCCCUUGCCCAAGACCUUGGGCGAUUGUUUAUUUGACAGAGUGUUCUGUCCCAUUCCCUUUCUUCUGGGAAUAAGGGCACGGGAUACUAAACAAAUAAAUCACCUGGUGUGGGAACGCCUGAUUUCUGGAGAGGCUGAGACUUCUAGGUGUUUGCUAGAAAGAUCCAACUACAGGAAAGAGAAAACAGCUGCUGCGUUCACAAGAAAACGGAGGAUGCAUUUCUCCCCAUGACUUUGGCUUGUUUGGGUUCGCAUUUCAAGUGCUCUGACUGGGCUUUAUGGAAUGUCCUGUCAAGCUUUUGAUUGUGAAAAUAAAGUAACAGAGACACAGGGGAACAAUAAUCACAGACACGAUUUGUAGCACAGACACGGCCUUUCAUUUCAUUCCUCUUUUCUAUGUUUACAAAUUGCGGCUGUUAGAGAAACGUUGGCCAAG